GUCCAUUGAUGAGUUUGCCAUGCUAAUACUGAUGCAGGAGUGCAAAUGAGUUAGACAUUUCUCAGCAAAUCCUGAGGACA